AGAGUUUGAUCAUGGCUCAGAAUGAACGCUGGCGGCGCGCCUAAUACAUGCAAGUCGAGCGAGAAGACGUAGCAAUACGUUUGUAAAGCGGCGAACGGGUGAGGAAUACAUGGGUAACCUACCCUCGAGUGGGGAAUAACUAGCCGAAAGGUUAGCUAAUACCGCGUACGCUUCUUGGACUUCGGUUCAGGGAGGAAAGCGAUACCGUGGGUAUCGCGCUCUUGGAUGGGCUCAUGUCCUAUCAGCUUGUUGGUGAGGUAACGGCUCACCAAGGCUUCGACGGGUAGCUGGUCUGAGAGGACGAUCAGCCACACUGGCACUGCGACACGGGCCAGACUCCUACGGGAGGCAGCAGUAAGGAAUAUUGCGCAAUGGGCGAAAGCCUGACGCAGCGACGCCGCGUGGGGGAUGAAGGUCUUCGGAUUGUAAACCCCUUUCGGGAGGGAAGAUGGAAUGGGGUAACCCAUUCGGACGGUACCUCCAGAAGCAGCCACGGCUAACUUCGUGCCAGCAGCCGCGGUAAUACGAAGGUGGCAAGCGUUAUUCGGAUUUACUGGGCGUACAGGGAGCGUAGGCGGUUCGGUAAGCCCUCUGUGAAAUCUUCAGGCUUAACCUGGAAAAGUCGGAGGGGACUGCCGGGCUAGAGGACGGGAGAGGAGCGCGGAAUUCCCGGUGUAGCGGUGAAAUGCGUAGAGAUCGGGAGGAAGGCCGGUGGCGAANNGGCGCUCUGGAACGUUUCUGACGCUGAGGCUCGAAAGCGUGGGGAGCAAACAGGAUUAGAUACCCUAGUAGUCC
rnacentral:rRNA from 1 species